GGGAAUGUAGCUCAGUUGGCAGAGUGCUUGCCUAGCAUGCAUGAAGCCCUGGGUUAGAUUCCUCAGUACCA
rnacentral:tRNA from 1 species